GACAGAGGUGCCGAGCGUUAGGCGGAAUCACUGGGCUUAAAGCGUGUGUAGGCGGGUCGUUAAGUGUCUUGUGAAAUCCCCCCGGCUCAACCGGGGAAUGGCUGGGCAUACUGGCGAUCUUGAGCGAUCUAGGGGCAGAUGGAACAAGUGGUGGAGCGGUGAAAUGCGUAGAUAUCACUUGGAACGCCAAAGGUGAAGACAGUCUGCUGGGGAUCUGCUGACGCUGAGACACGAAAGCCAGGGGAGCGAACGGG
rnacentral:rRNA from 1 species